rnacentral:rRNA from 1 species
CCUACGGGAGGCAGCAGUGAGGAAUAUUGGUCAAUGGACGAGAGUCUGAACCAGCCAAGUAGCGUGAAGGAUGACUGCCCUAUGGGUUGUAAACUUCUUUUAUAUGGGAAUAAAAUGUUCCACGUGUGGGAUUUUGUAUGUACCAUAUGAAUAAGGAUCGGCUAACUCCGUGCCAGCAGCCGCGUUAAUACGGAGGAUCCGAGCGUUAUCCGGAUUUAUUGGGUUUAAGGGGAGCGUAGGUGGAUUGUUAAGUCAGUUGUGAAAGUUUGCGGCUCAAGCGUAAAAUUGCAGUUGAAACUGGCAGUCUUGAGUACAGUAGAGGUGGGCGGAAUUCGUGGUGUAGCGGUGAAAUGCUUAGAUAUCACGAAGAACUCCGAUUGCGAAGGCAGUUCACUGAACUGCAACUGACACUGAGGCUCGAAAGUGUGGGUAUCAAACAGGAUUAGAUACCCCAGUAGUC